CCAGCCUGUCCACAUAAUUCUACUCACUGGGGGGAAAGUUCUAAUUCCGGUGGAUGAGCAAUAGGGUAAAGAUGUUAGGCUAAAACACAUUAUUUCGCAUCGCCAAGACACUGCUACAAAGACAGAGAUAGUAAUAGAUGUGCCCUUAAGUAAUUUGCCAAGUCCCGAUUUUCACCUAGUUAUGUGCUCGCUGUCGCUAAAGGUCCGCUCCAUCCAUCCUCAUGUCAUUCCCCAGAAAACCCAAUAAGUGAUGAGAUAGUGAAUGAAUAUUCUCCUAAGAACAUAGGCAUACCUAGCUCCUGUUUCAAAUCCGUGGAAUCAAAUUACUAUAAGUCCUGUU
rnacentral:lncRNA from 1 species